rnacentral:lncRNA from 1 species
UAAAUUUUGCUAUGGAACUCUGGAAUUGGGUCUACUUAUGUCACUGCAUCCUUUUCCAGCACAGGCAACCAGCUGGCAGAAGCCUGGUGUACAGGAGACUGGAGAGCACCUCUGCACACCAGCAUCCUUGUGGUUCUGGAGAACAGCCUGUGGAGUGAGUCACUUGGACUUUACAAGGUCAGUGUGAUCUCCCAAAAGUUCUCCAGUUCCAUUGCAGCAAUCAGCUCUCCUGCCUGCUCAGAACAUGAUGCCUCCAUCAGCCCAAUUUGAUGUCCUACUCAAGGGCUGACCCUGA